rnacentral:rRNA from 1 species
UUCCGGUUGAUCCCGCCGGACCUGACUGCUAUCGGAUUGAUACUAAGCCAUGCGAGUCUUUGUAGUAAUACAAGGCAGACGGCUCAGUAACACGUAGUCAACCUACCCUAUGGACGAGAAUAAUCUCGGGAAACUGAGCAUAAUUCUCGAUAGAUCAUAAUGCCUGGAAUGGUUUAUGGUUAAAAUGAUUCGUCGCCAUAGGAUGGGACUGCGGCCUAUCAGCUUGUUGGUGAGGUAAUGGCCCACCAAGGCGAUUACAGGUACGGGCUCUGAGAGGAGAAGCCCGGAGAUGGGUACUGAGACACGGACCCAGGCCCUAUGGGGCGCAGCAGGCGAGAAAACUUUGCAAUGUGCGAAAGCACGACAAGGUUAAUCCGAGUGAUUUCUGCUAAAGAAAUCUUUUACCAGUCAUAAAACCACUGGUGAAUAAGGGGUGGGCAAGUUCUGGUGUCAGCCGCCGCGGUAAAACCAGCACCUCAAGUGGUCAGGAUGAUUAUUGGGCCUAAAGCAUCCGUAGCCGGCUUUGUUAGUUUUCGGUUAAAUCCAUGUGCUCAACGCAUGGGCUGCCGAAAAUACUGCAGGGCUAGGGAGUGGGAGAGGUAGACGGUACUCAGUAGGAAGGGGUAAAAUCCUUUGAUCUAUUGAUGACCACCUGUGGCGAAGGCGGUCUACCAGAACACGUUCGACGGUGAGGGAUGAAAGCUGGGGGAGCAAACCGGAUUAGAUACCCGGGUAGUCCCAGCUGUAAACGAUGCAGACUCGAUGAUGCAUUGGCAUAUAGCCAGUGCAGUGUCGCAGGGAAGCCGUUAAGUCUGCCGCCUGGGAAGUACGUACGCAAGUAUGAAACUUAAAGGAAUUGGCGGGGGAGCACCACAAGGGGUGAAGCCUGCGGUUCAAUUGGAUUCAACGCCGG